GACAGAGGGUGCAAACGUUGUUCGGAAUUACUGGGCGUAAAGCGUGUGUAGGCGGCCCUAUAAGUCGGAUGUGAAAGCCCUGGGCUCAACCCAGGAAGUGCACUCGAUACUGUAGGGCUCGAGUACUGGAGAGGUUGGUGGAAUUCUCGGUGUAGAGGUGAAAUUCGUAGAUAUCGAGAGGAACACCGGUGGCGAAGGCGGCCAACUGGACAGAUACUGACGCUGAGACACGAAAGCGUGGGGAGCAAACAGG
rnacentral:rRNA from 1 species